rnacentral:rRNA from 1 species
GACGUAGGGUGCGAGCGUUGUCCGGAUUUAUUGGGCGUAAAGAGCUCGUAGGCGGCUCGUCGCGUCGACCGUGAAAACCCGCGGCUUAACCGUGGGCUUGCAGCCGAUACGGGCAGGCUAGAGUUCGGUAGGGGAGACUGGAAUUCCUGGUGUAGCGGUGAAAUGCGCAGAUAUCAGGAGGAACACCGGUGGCGAAGGCGGGUCUCUGGGCCGAUACUGACGCUGAGGAGCGAAAGCGUGGGGAGCGAACAGG